rnacentral:lncRNA from 1 species
CAAUCACAUUCUGGUUCGUCAUUUGACCACACAAAAUUACCCUGCAUAUGGUACAAACACGUCAUAUAUAGUACGUACUAUGCAUAACUGAUGAAAUCGCAUUAAAUAGACGGACCAAAAAAAAAAGGUAACGUACCUUGAAAAGAUUAAAAAAACAGAGGAACUGGAAUUAGAAAGAGAAGAAAUUGGAGAGACACAAAGUCAGAGAAUUGAAUAAUUAAACUUCUCUGUAUCUGUUGUGUGUUUAAGUGAAAGAGAAAGAAAAUAGAGAAGUAAAGAGCAAAGGGCCAAGAAAGAGAGAAGAUUGUAUGUAAGUCACAGGGGAAGAAGAAAGGGGGAAGACUGAAUUUAUAAGGUAGAGAGGGGGCACUAAGGGACGAAUA